CUGUUAUGUAGGUUAACUUUUGUGCGGAUCGGCUGGUUCUAAAUGCAAUGAAUUUUACUCAGACACACCAUCAAACUACGACUCUUAUUUUGUAGAAUAUACAUUCAAUAGGUCUCCUUUAAUUAAUUGUUUUUAACAAAAACUAAGGAAACCUUUCUACCAUAAAUUUGUAAAAAAAAAUAAUAAAAACAAACCUUCUGAGAUGUGUUUAGAUACCCAAAUGAAACAAUAUUCAACAGAGACGAAAACACGAGGAUGUAAACAAAUAUUGGCCAGCACAUGAAUUUCAACAAUGAACAAAUACCUAACAUGACUAAAGUAUAAAAAGCUAUGGCGAGCAAUAAUUUUAAAACAUUUAAAUGAGAAAAUAAAUGGCUUAAUUUAUAUUUUUCUUACGAAAAUCAAAUACGACUGACACCAACUACGAUUAGCACAGGCUACUUACAUGGUGAGAAAGGCUCCUAUAACUUUGAAGGUGUUAAACAUUUUUGUGAGUAUUUAAAUGUCUCCCUAACAUGAGAUAGUCUAUUAACUUCUUUAUUGUUACGACGGUUAUAUUGCCGAGGUCAAAGACUGAAGCCUCAAAUGUAUCCGUCGACCUUCAUUAGUUGAAUAAAAAGCCUAUUUAUAUGUAAACAAAACAAGUGAUUGAGUUAUUUUGAUUAUUCGGAUGAUUUAAAUGUCGUCAAAUUGUCUAAACAUCUUAUACACCAGGUUUCCUUUUCAGAAUCGAAUAACGAAUAAAAGGAUUUUUAUAAAAUCAAUGUUAAAAACCGAC
rnacentral:lncRNA from 1 species